ensembl:lncRNA
AUACAGAAUUGGCUUACGUACUGGAGGCUGUCAAGCCCAAAAUUUGCAGACCCACUGUCCUAGGUCAGGUCCAAAGGCUGGAAGCUACGUAGAACCAAGAGGAGCUCAUGUUCCAGUUUGAAGACUUCAGGUGAGAGGUAUUCUCUUUCACUGGGGGUGGGGGUUGUCUUUUGUUCUACUCAGGCCUGCAGCUGAUUGGAGGAGGCCCCGCUCACAUGACUGAGGGCCCUCUGCUCUACUCACCAUCCAUCAAUCAAAUGUUAAUCUUGUCCAAAAACACCAUCACAGACUCACUCAGAAUAAUACCUGGGCAUCAUGGCCCAGCCAGGUUGACACAUAAAAUGAACCCUCAUAGCUCCUGAGUGCUGGAGAAGACUCUUGAGAGACCCUUGGACUGCAAUGAGAUCAAACCCGUCAAUCCUAAAAGAAAUCAGUUCUUUGGAAUAUUCAUUGGAAGGACUGAUGCUGAAGCUGAAGCUCCAACAGUUGGGCCACCUGAUGCAAAUAACUGACUCAUUGGAAAAGACCCUGAUGCUGGGAAAGACGGAAGGCAGGAGGAGAAGGGGAUGCCAGAGGACAUGAGGGUUGGGUGGCCUCACUGACUCAAUGAACAUGAGCCUGAGCAAGCUCUGGGAGUUGGUGGUGGACAGGGAGGCCUGGUGUGCUGCAGUUCAUGAUGUUGCAGAUUCGGACACGACUGAGUGACUGAGCAACAAUCGAGCUCCUUACAGGAGAGCACCAGGGCAGAGAUGAGAAAAGGAAGAGGCGGCUGCAUGGGCUCAAACGCUGAGCUGCACCACUCCUGUUGCACAACCUCUCUGGGCUGGUGCUCCUUCCAUAGACCACACCCACUUGGGGAGAAGCACCCCCACCAUGCUCAGGGCCGUCCUUGGCAAUAACUGCUGCUGCUGUUAGCUUUACACUGUGGCUGGGAUGGUGGUCCCAGGAGCCGGGAACAAGAGAAGACUGAAGGGCGGAUUCUUCACUGCUGAGCACCAGGGAAGCCCAGUGAGGCUGUCACCGGCACCAUGUAGUGAGUGACUGAGGCACAAUCUGAACCUAGAACUGACUUCCAAUCCCAUGGCGUUCACACUAGCACCGGCUGAAGGGGAAGAGCCACAGGACUCAGCCAGGCAUCUUGCCCCAAGGGCCACCUUUCAAAGCUCCUUGCUUGGCAGUUAUUAAUGAUUCUUAAUUGUAAGUAGAGAGAAAC